GCACAAUUCCUAUUCUUGUGUUUGUUAGCCUCUGUGGACCUUGGGUAACUGUCUCACCAAGUUCCAAGCCAUGCGACUUAAAUGGAGAUUUUCUUAUCUUUGUUUUGCUCUUUCGAGGAAGAAGACAGACGGAGCUCAGAAUAGAGGCUGUGUGGGAAGACACAGAUUCCCUGUAACUUCCUCUUCAGAGUUUUGUACCUAGAAGGAUGGUCAAUGUCAUCAUGUGAGCUACCAUCCAAAAGGCUCUAUCCUGGACCAUCACAAACAUCAGAAUCAAUGACAAUGAAGCCACGGGUGGUGAAAAGUCCAGAGCGACUGGAGACACGUGGUCAUCCCGAGAAUCUGACCUUGUUAACUGCAACUUAAAGCCCUUCAUUAGGAGCUGGAGAGACGGCUCGGGAGCCAAUAACAGCGCUUGUUCCACAACAAGCGUGAGGUCCCGAGUUCAAAUAAAUGCCCAGCUCUUGUGUAAAAAGUCUCAAAAAC